AUUUCAUCAGUCCUGCGUUCACCCCAGAUUUGCCAAUGUCCAUGUCUGGCCAUUGCGAAUCUCCUUCUCAGUAGUCUAGAAAUUCGCCUCAGUUUUCCCUCCACUCUGGCUCCUUCUGUUAAAAGAUCACAGCAGAACCUCAAAACCUGUCCUGCAGUUCCAGUUCAUAGCACCCUCUCCUCAAAGCAGACGGCUCAGAUGAAGUGCCUGAAGGAGUCCCUGGGAAUCAGAUCUGUGUCCGGCAUUUUAUGAGAUUCUCUUGUACCCAGCCUGGCUUUGAACUUGCUAAGUAGCCAAGGAUCUCCCAAGCUUCCAAUCCUACUGCUGAUGCCUCCUAAGGCUGAAUUGCCAAUUAUGACCAUGAGGAAAUGAAAGGUCGACACCUGGGGUGACCUAUCAAGGCCACAAACUACAGAAUGGAAGGGGGAGAACUUGAGCCCCAGCCACGUCUUCCACGUCUACUGUCAACCACUGUGCACUUCUUCCUAGUGACAAUGCUUCUGGAUCACUACAAAUAUCACCUACUCCAGUGUCUCCCACUCAGCCACUACAUCCAGGUACACAGCCCAGAGUCACCUUAGAAGAGAGUUUCAGAUGAGAAUUUGCAG
rnacentral:lncRNA from 1 species